GAGGUGACAUCUAUAUCUGGGAACCAGUUCGGUUUCAUGCCGGGCCGCUCCACUACAGAGGCUAUCCACCUUGUCAGGCGGCUGGCGGAGCGAUUCAGGGAUAAGAAGAAGGACCUACACAUGGUGCUUAUCGACUUGGAGAAGGCGAAUGACAAGGUCCCAAGGGAGGUGCUUGGAGGCGAAGAGCGUGCCGAAAGCCUACAUCAGAGUAAUCAAGGACAUGUACAAUGGAGCUGAGAC
rnacentral:lncRNA from 1 species